rnacentral:rRNA from 1 species
CCCUUAGAGUUUGAUCCUGGCUCAGAUUGAACGCUGGCGGCAUGCCUUACACAUGCAAGUCGAACGGUAACAGGGAGCUUGCUCCGCUGACGAGUGGCGAACGGGUGAGUAAUACAUCGGAACGUGCCCAGUAAUGGGGGAUAGCUCGGCGAAAGCCGGAUUAAUACCGCAUACGCCCUGAGGGGGAAAGUGGAGGACCGCAAGGCCUCACGUUAUUGGAGCGGCCGAUGGCUGAUUAGCUAGUUGGUAGGGUAAAGGCCUACCAAGGCGACGAUCAGUAGCUGGUCUGAGAGGACGAUCAGCCACACUGGGACUGAGACACGGCCCAGACUCCUACGGGAGGCAGCAGUGGGGAAUUUUGGACAAUGGGGGAAACCCUGAUCCAGCAAUGCCGCGUGUGCGAAGAAGGCCUUCGGGUUGUAAAGCACUUUUGUCAGGGAAGAAAUCCUUUGGGCUAAUACCCUAGGGGGAUGACGGUACCUGAAGAAUAAGCACCGGCUAACUACGUGCCAGCAGCCGCGGUAAUACGUAGGGUGCAAGCGUUAAUCGGAAUUACUGGGCGUAAAGCGUGCGCAGGCGGUUGUGUAAGACAGGUGUGAAAUCCCCGGGCUUAACCUGGGAAUUGCAUUUGUGACUGCACGACUAGAGUGUGUCAGAGGGGGGUGGAAUUCCACGUGUAGCAGUGAAAUGCGUAGAUAUGUGGAGGAACACCAAUGGCGAAGGCAGC